rnacentral:rRNA from 1 species
UACGAAGGGGGCUAGCGUUGUUCGGAAUUACUGGGCGUAAAGCGCACGUAGGCGGCUUUUUAAGUCAGAGGUGAAAUCCUGGAGCUCAACUCCAGAACUGCCUUUGAUACUGGAGAGCUUGAGUCCGGGAGAGGUGAGUGGAACUGCGAGUGUAGAGGUGAAAUUCGUAGAUAUUCGCAAGAACACCAGUGGCGAAGGCGGCUCACUGGCCCGGUACUGACGCUGAGGUGCGAAAGCGUGGGGAGCAAACAGG